CGUGUAUCCCUGCACACAGGAGCAGAUGUUGUUCCUCAUACAGACGCCACCAUUUUUACAGGGAGGGCUGCAGACGGCUGGAGGACGAAAAACCGUGAGGACACUCGCAGACAUUCGGCCGAACACACGAGCCUCCGUUCAGACAGACGGGAGAGCAGAGAGCUGGAGGAGAGAGAGGUCAGAGCGUCAGCGCUGAGCGCAUGCCCUUGGGGCAGGGGCCGCAGCCAUAGGAGCCAAAGCUAUUGAAGCACUGGACUCCAGGGAAACAGGGCUUCCUUUCACACUCAUUGAUAUCUUCCAGGCAAGUUUUACCUGCCAAAAACACACACAGAG